ACACCUAAUUGCUCAGUCAAUAGAGCAUGAGACUCUUGAUCUCAGGGCCAUGGGUUCAAGCCCCAUUUUGGGCA